GUUUGGGUGUGGCCGCAUGGCGUGCUGUGGUGCAGGUGGCCGAAGGGGGCGUUACUGUUGCGACUGGCAUCCGCAUCCGGCAGAUGUAGAUGGAACCAAAGUCCAGAAGUUACGCGUCACCCUUGCUCUACAGCCAAACAUGCAGGACUCUAGUAACCCGCGAAAUGAUGGGAUAGCGUUGCAAAUCCUUAAAAGAGUCUUAACGAAAUCCUGGCUGACAUUGACUUCUCCACUGCAACCAUCGAGUUCAUUGUCUCCUAAACCUUGCCAUGGAGGCCUGUGGCACCUGAGCCAGCCAUUAUCAUCACCAGCACUUCCAUGAGCUACAAGCUGGACCCACUGCAGUCCUCCUGACACACUGAAAUCAGAGCCUGCACACAGAGCAGCAGAUGCUUCAAUGUAAAGGUCAUUUCCAGCUAUGUGUUCCAAGAUUACUGAAGCAGGAUUCUGGCCUUCCUGAUAAGAACAUGACCAGAUCCAGCUGGUUUGCAACAAGAUGAACUUCAGUGCUGAGCUUUCACCAAGUUUUUCUCACUACAAUCUCAUUGUAAUACUAAAAUCUCCACCCAAGAUGGAGGUUAUCUGCCAUUUUCUGUACAUGUGUUACCAGAAAGGGGUCCUGAUCCAGACCCCAAAAGAGGGUUCUUGGAUCUCACGCAACAAAGAGUUCGGGGCGAGUCCAUAGAGUAAAGUGAAAGCAAGUUCAUCAAGAAAGCAAAGGAAUAAAGAAUGCCUACUCCAUAGGCAGAGCAGUGGCUUUGGCUGCUCAGCUGCUUGUACUUGUUACUUCUUGAGUAUAUGCUAAACAAGGGAUUGAUUACUCCUUGUUUAGCAGUUUUCUGGGAAAGGAGUGGGCAAUUCCCAGAACUGAGGGUUCCUCCCCUUUUUAGACCAUAUAGGGUGACUUCCUGAUGUUGCCAUGGCAUUUGUAAACUGUCAUGGCGCUAGUGGGAGUGUCUUUUAGCAUGCUAAUGCAUGAGCAGUGAGGAUGACCCGAGGUCAUUUUUGUUACCAUCUUGGUUUUGGUGGGUUUUGGCUGGUUUUGGCCGGCUUCUUUACCACUUCUUUUUAUCAGCAAGGUCUUUGUGACCUGUACUUAGUGCCGACUUCCUGUCUCAUCCUGUGAGUAAGAAUGCCUAAUCUCUCAGGAAUGCAGCCCAGUAGGUCUCAACCUUAUUUUACCCAGCCCCCAUUCAAGAUGGAGUGACUCUGGUUCAAAUGCCUCUGACACAUGUGCCUCAUGUUUGGGCAUGAGACCUCACUGUGUAGGUGCAGAGAAGACCCUGCCUAAACAUUGCCUACACGUUGCUCCUUUUUCCUGCCUCAACUUCCUUAAAAUGACAAGAGCAGAGCCCUUUUGGGAGCUAACAUCAGGACUCCUUUUCUGUACUCUGCUCCGUUGUGCUGCUAGAGCCACAAGCCUAUUAAACUUUGCCUGAAAUAAA
rnacentral:lncRNA from 10 species